rnacentral:tRNA from 1 species
GCCGGUUUGGCUCAGUGGAUGGAGCCUCGGCUUGCGGACUGGGGGGUCACGGGUUCGAUUCCCGUUAGGGGCA